CAGUCGCCGCGGUAAUACGAAGGGGGCUAGCGUUGCUCGGAAUGACUGGGCGUAAAGGGCGCGUAGGCGGAUGGCACAGUCAGAUGUGAAAUUCCCGGGCUUAACCUGGGGGCUGCAUUUGAUACGUGUUGUCUAGAGUGAGGAAGAGGGUUGUGGAAUUCCCAGUGUAGAGGUGAAAUUCGUAGAUAUUGGGAAGAACACCGGUGGCGAAGGCGGCAACCUGGUCCUUGACUGACGCUGAGGCGCGAAAGCGUGGGGAGCAAACAGGAUUAGAUACCCCAGUAGUCCCUGUCUCUUAUAC
rnacentral:rRNA from 1 species